AUGUCACCGAGGGAGUGUUCCCCAUGCUCAGCAGCAGAUCUGGCUCGCUGGGGCCGGGCAGGAUGGCAAGUACACGGCACCCUCCUGGGCAGAAGAGCUAGGUGGGCAAGGGAAAGGAUCCACCCCACCCUUGAGAACUGGAGCCAGAUGGCAACCUGUAGUGCUGGCCUCUCCCUUUGUGUAAUGCUCAGUGCAUGUCAUUCCUGCCGGACAAAUGAACUUGGAGCUUACAGGGUUACAGACCAGCAUUCAGUAUUGAAUACGAGAGAAGUGGAAGACGUAAAACAGAGACAUUCAUUCACCAUCAGCAGGUUCCAGUUGCCUUAAUGAAUAAUCUCCAAAGAAAUCUACCUUAUACAAAUCAUAAGAUGCAUACAUUAAUUCUAGCUAAUUCCUUGUCUUCAACAGUAUUCUUAUCUCUCAUUGAUAUAAGGGGCAGAGAUACCAUGGCAUCACAGAGUACAGAGAAGUUAGCCUACCCCAAAGAGAUCCAAGCUACAGUUCCCUCUACACCGUGCAGGCUGCAGAAAGGCUUGGGCGUAGGCUUAGGGUAGGAAUUCUGGUCCAAGUCCAUCAUCUGUUUAAUAUCUGAAAUACCAAUAAUCUCAGUGAAUACUGGGACGCUGACCCCAAGCAUCCCAAACUCCCUUCUGAGUUGUUUCUCCCCAAAUUACAGAGUUGGUAAGUAAGUUCCAGUGAUUCAGGCUGGAAUUUCACGACCACUUUGUGAUUAAAUCUGCAGUAAAUCCAGAUGUGUCCAGCCUGCCGCUACUCAAAAAGGUUUUUCAAGAGCACAAGUGGUUUUAGGGCUUUGUAGAUGAGAUUUAGGCUCUUAAAAGCCAUUUCUGCCUUCGCUAAUCUCUCUAGCAGACUGCAACACAGUUGUGUGUUACCCACCAAAUUCCCACGAUGUCACCCUUUCCUUAUUAUUGGUCUAAUUAAUAAUAAUGUUUCACAUUGCACUGGAGAUCAUGGUAAGACUGACCUGAGCCUGUUAGCCUCUCCGGAAACUCCUAUCUGCUCCUCAGAGUGUCUUGAUGUGUGGGGCACUGCAUCACGGAACUGUUAAUUUUUAGAAGGGUCUUACAAAAAAAGGACUGUGAGUUACAGCAGGAC
rnacentral:lncRNA from 1 species